AAAGUGAAAAAACAGCUGCCAGACCAGGAAGAGAGGCCUCCUUCCUCCUGCAAGAUGCCUUCAGUGCCUCUACUGACAAAGCUUAACAUUGUGCUCUUUGUAAAGGAGAAAAGAAUCCAGAUCAUCAUAGUGGAGCAGGCAGUGAAGGGGAAUUGGGAGCUGAGAGGCAGCAAAUUGAUAACAGAAGCUUCCCACGUUGCUGUCGAGAUUUCUGAUUCAAGUACUUUGAGUCUGGAAUCAUUUUUCCUCAUUGGGAACUUUUAGAAUUCCUUCCAUUUCGCUGGUGUUCUGAAGUUUCAAGAUGAGCCACGGCACUUUGAUUUGAGCUUCUCUGCUCUGCAAGGUCAUAUACAAUUUUCCAUUUGUUUCCUGCCCUCAUACAUUGUGGUUCAAGUGUACGGAUGUCUCCUAGCUUCACCUGGACAGAGUAUGCUUCUGCCUUGUGUCCUUAAAGUUAUUUGGAUGGUUUCCAAUAGGAAAAACAAUUCAAAAGUCUUUAUUCUGCCACAUUAAAACCAGAAAUCCCAUUUUUUUCAUUUGAUCAUCUUGACAACUCAAAGAAGUGGGUGUCGAUAUCCCCAAUUUGUAGAAGGGAAAAUUAAAGUAGAGACUUGGAUUCAGCGAGACUCUUGACAAUAUGUCUACUAUGACCUGGGAGGGGAUUCAGUGACAAACAAACAGAGAUGGUUCCUGGCUUCAAGGAGCUCCCAGUUUGGUCGAUUUGAUCAUAUAAAGAGGUCAUUUGUUAGAGUGUGAAGACUGCUGUGCGUUAUCUGUGUCACUCAGUACAAGCCUCAUCUCGUGAAAGCAGGGAGCGAAGGCCUUCAGAGGAAGCAGAAUGAGAGGCAACAGAGGAAAUGUGAUCGAACCUCCCUGCUGGAUGACACUUCAUUGUGGGCCUGACCACCUCAUCACAGCUUUCCAAGCCCUUUGGAAGGUCUUUCCUGCUGAGCUGGUUUCUCAACUCUGGGCUGCCCUCCCACUUAUCAGCUGCAGGCCAAGCCUGACUCCCCAGCAUGCAUGAUGCACAAUAUUGCCCUGAGUCAUGAAAGAAAGCUGUUCUUACAUUACCAAGGUCACAUGCAGACAGGGAAAAGCAGUACAAGAAGCACAACAGACUAAGUCUGAGUCCUUGCUUUGCCACUUACUAGCUGCGUGACCCUGGGCAAGUUGCUGAAUCUGUCU